rnacentral:rRNA from 1 species
UACAGAGGGUGCAAGCGUUGUUCGGAAUUACUGGGCGUAAAGCGAGUGUAGGCGGCCUAUUAAGUCAGAUGUGAAAUCCCUUGGCUCAACCGAGGAACUGCAUCUGAUACUGGUGGGCUUGAGUGUCGGAGGGGAUGGUAGAAUUCCUGGUGUAGAGGUGAAAUUCGUAGAUAUCAGGAGGAAUACCUGUGGCGAAGGCGACCAUCUGGAAGACAACUGACGCUGAGACUCGAAAGCGUGGGGAGCGAACAGG